rnacentral:tRNA from 1 species
GCUCCCCUGGCGUAAUGGUAACGCGUUGGACUUCUACUUCUUCGAGACUUCGGUCGAUGGUUGGGAUCCAAAGACUGCGGGUUCGAGCCCCGCGGGGAGUG